AUUGAACGCUGGCGGCAGGCUUAACACAUGCAAGUCGAGCGGAGAUGAGGUGCUUGCACCUUAUCUUAGCGGCGGACGGGUGAGUAAUGCUUAGGAAUCUGCCUAUUAGUGGGGGACAACAUUCCGAAAGGAAUGCUAAUACCGCAUACGUCCUACGGGAGAAAGCAGGGGAUCUUCGGACCUUGCGCUAAUAGAUGAGCCUAAGUCGGAUUGGCUUGUUGGUGGGGUAAAGGCCUACCAAGGCGACGAUCUGUAGUGGGUCUGAGAGGAUGAUCCGCCACACUGGGACUGGGACACGGCCCAGACUCCGACGGGAGGCAGCAGUGGGGAAUAUUGGAGAAUGGGGGGAACCCUGAUCCAGCCAUGCCGCGUGUGUGAAGAAGGCCUUAUGGUUGUAAAGCACUUGAAGCGAGGAGGAGGCUACUGAGACUAAUACUCUUGGAUAGUGGACGUUACUCGCAGAAUAAGCACCGGCUAACUCUGUGCCAGCCGCCGCGGUAA
rnacentral:rRNA from 1 species